GUGAAUUGAAUAUGUUAGCGGACCUCUUCGGAGUCCCUAGCAAUCAAAUCAUAUCCAUACACCUGUGAACUGUAAGGCUGUCUUGAAAACGAAAGUGAUUAGAGCGCCUGCCCAUUUAUACAACAUUAAAGUAACAAACGUAGUCUUAUUAGAACCUAAU
rnacentral:misc_RNA from 1 species